CCCCCCCCCCCCCGCUUCUGAUCCGCCCUCUCCUGCGGUGCGAGUCCGCCUUUCGCGGCCCCUUUCGGUAUCUUGUUUUGUCUCCACCGCCGAUAUCCGAGAUCGUGGAGGCCUGUGCCUGUGCCCGCGCCGGCAGGCGCUCGGCAGGUGCUAAGGUCCGUGGAGCGCGUGAACCACCACGGCCUGGGCAUAGCGCUCGUCGUGAAGCACCUGGGUUCAAUCUCCAGUACGACCACCAAGCAACAAACCGAGACUGACCCUGUCGUAAUCACACUCCCAGGCAGGGUGGAAAGCCUGAAAAUGAAUGGUUCCUGGUGAGCAAGGAGCGGGAGUGGAGAUCAGCCUUUCCCCAUUCCUGCGGCUAGGCCGAGCCCGGUCUCCUCAGGUCUCCUGUAAAUCACUCAGCAACCCCAGUGAGGGUCGCGCAGCUAAAAUGAAUCACGGCCAGGAUUUAAACCCAAGCAGCCCUCUUAACUCCCUGGCGUCUCAUGGCUGAAAACUAGAAUGGGGAUGAUGGAUGAUGACGUAACAGGAGUAAGCGGGACAGCAGUUAGGGUUGUGUCGGGCCAUAAGAACUGUGGGCCUACAACGGAUCGGGAAGCCCCACACAGUCUGCUGAGUCACAGCCGGCCAGGAAUCUUGCAGGAAAUCUGUCGGGUGUCCUUGGGCUGUUCGGGACGCCCACCGGAGCGUGGUCCGGCAGGCCGGGGGCUCAAGGGCACACGGGCCCCGCGUGGACACCGCGUAGACUGCAUCCUAAAAACUGUGCCGCCUCCCCCACAGGAUGGGGAUUGUAUCGCUCACACAAUGGCCGCGCUCUCUUCUAAAUCCCUUCAAAACCCCUACACGAAGAGCCCUGGUGGGUAUCCUACUCAGAACCCCCUCCUGGCUAACGGGAGCUUCCUUGCCUUUAUUCUGUUUUCUUUCCUGCCUUCCCAUCUCUUAAAUAAAAAUUCUCACACCCUCCCUCCUCCGUUGUCAGUUUCAUUCUCU